UGUCUGCUCGGAUCGAGCGCGUUUCAAGUCUCCCAACUUGGAAGGGUGGGAAAGAGGCCCGGGCAGAGUUCGCGAGCUCAGGCGCCCCAAGGAUGGAGCGGGCGUGCACGCCUGGAUCCUGCGUUUGCAAUGGAAAGUUCCGUGACGUGGACGAGGAGCCUUGAGCCGUCCCACCCGAGAUUGGUGCUGGAGGUCCCGCCUCCUGGGAGGUCUCAGGGGCCCAUUCAGGCCACCCCACCGAAGGAGCUCCUCUCUCUCACGCACCACCUAAGCUUGCAUGGGGCGGGGGGGGGGGGGGGGGCAUGCAGGCAUGUGUGGACGGACAUUCCUUGAGCAUAGGGCCUGCUCAGCCUGCAUAGAAUCGUGGAAAGGGGGCACUACUGACUGUACAAGAGGGGUGGGUGAGAGACAAGGGUGAUGCCUUCCCAUCUCAGCCCUAUGGCUUGCCAGUGCCUUGGGCAAGACAACCCUGCAUCUGUUUUUGUAUUUACAUGGCUCAAAGGUACACAACCUGAUGCCCUUAAGGUCUUUACUGCACUCGUCAGGGAUGGCCUGAUCCACUGCUGCUGUUGCUAAACUUUUCCCACUGAUUUUAACUCAGAAGGGCAGCUAGAGUCACAGGCUGUCUGCUCCUCAAUCUCCAGUCCAUAUCCAGCAAUCACUGAUCUGGUUGAGAGAUGCCAGCUCAGCUAUUGAGCUGCCACUUGCCUCUUGCCAUCCUUGAUCCUGGAAGGAGCAUUCCCCUCAUCCCCCAGUACAGUGAAGGAGGUGGAACCAGAGCUGUGGAUUAGUCCAGUCAAGCUACUGCAGGACAUACAGCUAAUGAUUAUUUUAACAUGCCUAUAACAUUUUGUGUGAUUGUUGCAACAUUUGCAAUUUGGCAUCAAGUGUUUGCUUUGCUUAUGAUAGCAUUUUCAAAGCUCAAGCGGUUGUGUGAUAUAGAAAUGUUAUUAAUUCAUUAAUAAAAAUUAAGCACCUAGGAAUCAGCUGUGCUCAGUAGAUGAUGUUCACGUGUGUGCCUAUUUGUAAAGGAUGGCCUGGAACAAAGGAAGCAGAAGAAGCUACUCAGCUCUUCAAGCAGGAAGAACAAAGGGCUGGCAGGCUGCUUCCAGAAGGAUGUCAUCCAGAGCUGCCAAUCAAAAGAAGUCAUGGUGGUGGGGAAAAAUGGGGGAAGGGGCAGCAAAAAAACACAAAAGGAAGGCAAAUGGAACGUGCUGUCAACAGGGUUGGCUCUGAGGUUUGGUGGGCCCCCCUCUCUCAGUGAGCUUUCCUUCUCACCCCCACUCUUGCGGCUAGUGCUCUUCUCCUUCUCAUUAUUGCAACUGCUAAGUAUUGUUGCGAGGCAGACAAGCAAAGCAGAACUCUACUGCUCCUACUUUAUAUAUCCCUACUCUGAGCAACUCCAACAGCCAGGUUGCAGUGAUGAAGAGAAGGAACAGGGCCGGGUGGCUUUGACAGGGCAUGGUCCCUUGGCAGGUGUUCAGUGAUGAUCACCCUCUAUACCAGUCGUUGACAUCAAGAAGAAAGCAUGUAGGGCAUCGUUCCAGCUACUGGGAAAGACUUAUAGUUCCCAUUUGUCUCAAGGGAAAGUUACAUCUUCAGCUCUUCUGUGCUAAGCCAGGGAAAUAUCACAGUACUUUUGCUUUGGUAGGGCCAUAACCCAGUGUAAAAUGCAACAAGAAUCUGCUGAUGGAAAGUAGGGGGGGGAGUAGGAAAAACAUCAAAAUUGCAAAUGGAAGCCUUGAACUAGAGAGAGCCAGAGAUACACCAUCUAGUUCCAGCCUCCCCCAACUCUCUCCUCAGAGAACACAGUGUAUCCCAUUAGAGGAAACAAAACUGUGACAAGAAAUCCCUGUCAUUGUUAAAGCCAUUAAAUGGCCUAUUCUUUAUUGUAGGCAUGUUGCUGAAAUAGGGAGCCAUUGUACUGCUUUGAAUAUGAAGAUGCUUGUUUUCAAAAUACAGUAAUGACCAAAAAGGCCAGGUUCCAUGAUGGUGGUGAAAAGCCCAUUUCAACAAAUAUUUCUAAAUAUGGAAGAAAUAAAUUCACUCUUGAGGGCACCAUAAAGAGCUGAACAAAUUAAGUUUAAAAAGUAAUACGCUCUUUGUUGUUAAAGUUAGGACUGUAACUCAGAGAACUGAAUCAGAGCGUGUCUUACUUUGGACAAGUACUGUAGCUACUGCUGACAGAACAUUGGGUUUACCUGAAUGCAAUAUGAGCUCUGCUAUGCUGAGUGGCACGGCAAGAUCCAGUCCCUGGAGAUCAGCCAUAUGGUCCUCAACCCUUCAAACAUCUUUCAGAUUGAGAGCCAAACUUGUGACAGUUAGAUCCGCAUGUUUGAACUUGGAAUUACUCAUAUUAUUUAUGUUGAAAGGAAAAGGCCAGAGAACUAUGAUUUUAGCAGACAAAUGGGCACCUGGAUCAAGGUGUGCAGGCCCCCUUAUGUCCUCACAGCUUCUCUCCCCAAGUACCUGGGCAGGAGAGGUGUAAAAAGGAAGUGAGAUGCGGUUUUAAUGCCUUUCCCCUCCACAUCUCCUUUCCUGUUCUCUUGGGACCCCACUCUCCUCUCUUCUCCAAGAUGAAGUGAUCUGCAUUGAAAUGGCCAGGUCAGUCCCAAACGAAAUGCUUGGCUCUAUGUAGAAAAUGGGCAGGUCCUCAAGGCAGUGUAUUUUCCUCCCUCACCUGAUAUAACCAUUUCAUAUCUC